rnacentral:antisense_RNA from 1 species
CUUGACGGACCCCAGCCACAACGGCCGGUCCGCCGGCCGGUCCUGGCCGUACGUCGCGAGCAGGGCCUGCGCCUC